CUGAAGUACUCUGGAACCUGGCCACCAAAAAUAGAAUGGGCAAAUCGACCGGAGAACUGCAGUAACGCCACGCCUGAUUACACCUGCAGAGAUACAAGCAAAGAUGAAGGAGACUUGCAAGGUAUAUCAGUACCAAUUCCAGCAAUGGACAGAAAAGAACAUUCCGGAAAAUCCACAGGACUUGGUGGAAAUGAUGCAAAGUGUCAAGUAUAAGACUGAGUAUGACAAAAUCAGACCUGACAGGAAUGUGCCUAUUGUGGUCCACUGCAAGACCAGUACCAGUUCCUCUAUGACACAAUAGAGAGCACCUCCCUGCCCAGGACAAUGAAGUACAGCCAAGCCACAGGAGCGGACUCUGUGGACAUGGUGGCACCUUGGGGGAGGGCAGCAGUGUUACCAAAGCUGGCCAGCAGAGGGACACAUAGCAAUAUAGUGGUUAGAAUAAGCAUUAAGGAUGCUUGGUACUGCAUUAUAAUGGUAUCUGUAGUACAUUAUAGAUGAAAGCUUCACAAGGCAGUCAUAAUACAUAAUAAACAUAUCUAGUUAUGCCAUGUUUAUAAUGCUUUAUGAAUGCAUUAUAGUGCAUUAUGAAUGUGUUUAUAAAUUACUAAAAACAUGGCCUGAAGUAAAAGCGUUACCAACCUAUUUUCUAUAUAACCUUUCUAUAUAAACUUUUAUUUUAGUUUGUGCUUCAGUAGUAAUUCCUUUUGUAUUGUGAAUGAUUUUGUCCUGCAUAUGUUCGCUUUCACUCAAGAGCAAAAACAGCCUUUAAACUAAAAAGAAACAUUGAUUUGUGAUAAUCAUUGAUACUGACAUGAAUUAUUUAAAAACAUGAAAGAAAUUUAUGCCUAAGGUCAAUUUUCUUACUUAUUCAUGAUAAAUGAUAGAUAAUUGUGCAUAAAUUACAAUAUACAACAACAAAA